rnacentral:rRNA from 1 species
GUGAGGAAUCUUCCACAAUGGGCGAAAGCCUGAUGGAGCAACGCCGCGUGAAGGAUGAAGGUCUUCGGAUUGUAAACUUCUUUUAUGAGUGAAGAAUAUGAUGGUAACUCAUGAAUAAGCACCGGCUAACUACGUGCCAGCAGCCGCGGUCAUACGUAGGGUGCAAGCAUUAUCCGGAGUGACUGGGCGUAAAGAGUUGCGUAGGCGGUUAUGUAAGCGAAUAGUGAAACCUGGUGGCUCAACCACACAGACUAUUAUUCGAACUGCAUAACUCGAGAAUGGUAGAGGUAACUGGAAUUUCUUGUGUAGGAGUGAAAUCCGUAGAUAUAAGAAGGAACACCAAUGGCGUAGGCAGGUUACUGGGCCAUUUCUGACGCUAAGGCACGAAAGCGUGGGGAGCGAACCGGAUUAGAAACCCUGGUAGUCC